UGGCUAGUACCGUUUUAGUUAGGGCUUGUUGAAUUUGCGUUGCUUCGGUUUGUGUCGAGUUGCUGGUCUUAGUGUCUAGUCCUUUAGAGUUUCGAGUUCUUGUCACCAUCUAUACACAGCCGAGUAUUACCAUAUCUUCUCUCUGUCGAAUCUGUUGCGAAGUCCGAAUUGAACUGUGAUCUUGGUCCGGAUCGAGUAGAGUUCCAAUCUGAGUUCCACCAACGUGAUAAAAAAAAGAAGGAUAACUCCAUACUUGUUCGGCCUUACUCUAGAGAGAGAGAGAAGUGUGUGUAGCGAAUUGCUCUUUUGUAUUCUUUUGUUCAUAUAAUCAGUUUUUGAGGUUGCCCAAAAAAAAGAAAAACAAAAGAAAAAAAAGAGAAAAGAUUCAAAAAAAGAAGGGGUUGUUUUUCAUAUUGAUUUUAGGUUUCUUCCACCUUGUUUUCGGGGGUGUGCUGUGGUUUUCCUUUGUGUCCAGGCUCGCGUCUCUAGCACGGUCUAGCCUAGGACCAGCACAGUACCAUCGUCGAACGCUUAUUCAGCUCGCUUUUAUAACUAACGUGGUGCUAGUUCGUUCCUUGUUUCAGCCCACCUAUAGCUCCACAUACUCUACAGCUUGACAGGUCUUGUGCUGCAGCACCGAUACACUUCGUCCAUUGCUGUACACUUGUUGGCAGACGACCCCUCCUGUCAAGCAAGGUAAGAAUUGGUAAGAACUUGUGUUACAGGUUGAGUGUGAGCGACUUGCUGUAGCUACAUCCUAGUAGUUGUAGGGCUUUUAUUUCUUCACUUGCCUUUUUGUUGUCUUUGUCCUUGAACCAUGCCAGGGGCAGAUGAUGGUAACAAAACACCACAUACACCUCGCACUAAGGGCAUCAUAUAACAUUUUGAAAGGAAAGUGAAGCUGCACACAGAGGGACUAGAUAACGACUUGCAGGUGACAAAUGAAAAGCUGGGGCAGUUGGAGGCUACGCAGAUUGCCACAAACAACAAGCUCACAAGUUUGGAGGAAUCCGUUGCUAGUGUGGACAAAAGCCUUGCUGCUCUCCUAAGGCGAUUUGAUGAUUUCCACACCGAAGAUAAAGAGAAGCAUAAAGAAGAAAAGGAGGGAGAUCGAGAGCACGAUAGUUAUGAAGAUGACUACACUGGUGAUACUGAACAUGAUGAUCAAGACACUCGUGAUCGACGUCGCCUUCGUCACAACCGUAAAGGUAUGGGUGGCAACCGCCGACGCGAGGUACACAAUAAUGAUGAUGCUUUCAGUAAGAUUAAAUUUAAGAUACCCCCUUUUGAUGGUAAAUAUGACCCUGAUGCUUACAUCACUUGGGAGAUUGCUGUUGAUCAAAAGUUUGCAUGUCAUGAAUUUUCUGAGACUACACGUGUUAGGGCUGCUACUAGUGAGUUUACAGAUUUUGCUUCUGUUUGGUGGAUAGAAUAUGGAAAGAAAAAUCCUAAUAACUUACCUAGAACUUGGGAUGCGCUGAAAAGGGCCAUGAGAGCUAGAUUUGUUCCAUCUUACUAUGCGCGUGAUAUGAUAAAUAAGUUGUAGCAGUUAAGACAAGGUGCUAAAAGUGUAGAAGAAUAUUAUCAGGAAUUACAAAUGGGUAUAUUGCGUUGUAACCUAGAGGAGGAUGAGGAACCGGCUAUGGCUAGAUUUUUGGGUGGGUUAAAUCGGGAAAUUCAGGACAUCCUCGCUUACAAAGAAUACAAUAAUGUAACCCGUUUGUUUCAUCUUGCUUGUAAAGCUGAAAGGGAAGUGUAGGGACGACGUGCUAGCGCAAGGAGUAACAUUUCUGCAGGGAAGGCUAAUUCAUGGCAGCAACGCGUGGCUUCAACUCCAUCUACACGUAUUUCUACUCCAUCAUCUAGUGACAAGACUCGAGCUGCCCCCACCAAUUCAGUUGCGAAGACGAUGCAAAAGCCUGCUGCGAGUACUUCAUCCGUGGCAUCGACGGGUAGAACAAGCAACAUACAAUGUCACCGGUGCAAGGGAUAUGGGCACAUGAUGCGUGACUGUCCAAACAAGCGAGUUAUGAUUGUCAGGGAUGAUGGUGAGUACUCACCUGCUAGUGAUUUUGAUGAGGAUACACUUGCAUUGCUUGCGACUGACCAUGCAGGUAAUGAAGAUCAAAUAGAAUAACAUAUUAAUGCAGGUGAAGCGGACCACUAUGAGAGCUUGAUCGUGCAGCGAGUGCUUAGUGCACAAAUGGAGAUGGCGGAGCAAAAUCAGCGACACAUUUUAUUCCAAACAAAGUGUGUCAUCAAAGAGCGUUCUUGUCGCAUGAUCAUUGAUGGAGGUAGCUGCAACAACUUGGCAAGCAGCGAGCGAUAUGGUGCAGAAGCUUGCCCUCAACACCAAACCACACCCGCAUCCCUACUACAUCCAAUGGCUGAACAACAGUGGUAAGGCAAAGGUAACUAGACUUGUGAGAAUUAAUUUUUCCAUCGGAUCCUACAAAGAUAUUGUUGAAUGUGAUGUUGUGCCUAUGCAAGCUUGUAACAUUUUGCUAGGUAGACCUUGGCAAUUUGAUAGAGAUUCUAUGCAUCAUGGUAGAUCAAAUCAGUAUUGUUUUCUAUACCAUGAUCGCAAAAUUGUGCUGCAUCCUAUGUCCCCUGAAACUAUUAUGCAAACUGAUGUUGCUAGGGCUACUAAAGCAAAGAGCGAGAGCAAUAAAAAUAAUAAAUCUGUAAUUGGUAACAAAGAUGAGAUAAAACUGAAAGGACGUUGUAUGAUAGCUACCAAAUCAGAUAUUAAUGAGUUCAAUGCAUCCACUUCUAUUGCUUAUGCUUUGAUAUGCAAGGAUGCUUUGAUUUCAAUUGAGGAUAUGCAAUGUUCUUUGCCCCCUGCUGUUGCUAACGUUUUGCAGGAGUAUUCUGAUGUGUUUCCAAGUGAGGUACCAGCGGGGCUGCCUCCACUACGCGGGAUUGAGCACCAAAUUGAUCUUAUUCCUGGAGGAGUUUUGCCAAAUCGUGCACCAUACAGGACAAACCCGGAGGAAACAAAGGAAAUUCAGCGACAAGUGCAAGAACUACUAGACAAAGGUUAUGUCCGAGAAUCUCUUAGUCCUUGUGCUGUUCCAGUAAUUUUAGUGCCUAAGAAAUAUGGAACAUGGCGUAUGUGUGUUGAUUGUAGAGCUAUUAAUAAUAUCACCAUUCGAUAUCGACACCUUAUUCCACGAUUAGAUGAUAUGCUAGAUGAGCUGAGUGGUGCUGUUGUGUUUUCAAAAGUUGAUUUACGUAGUGGGUACCACCAGAUUCGUAUGAAAUUGGGAGAUGAAUGGAAAACUGCUUUCAAAACUAAGUUCGGUUUGUAUGAGUGGUUAGUCAUGCCUUUUAGGUUAACUAAUGCACCUAGUACUUUCAUGAGAUUAAUGAACGAGGUUUUGUGUGCUUUCAUUGGGAAAUUUGUUGUCGUAUAUUUUGAUGACAUAUUGAUUUACAGCAAAUCAUUGGAUGAACAUCUUGAUCAUUUACGUGCUGUUUUUAAUGCACUACGCGAGGCACGUUUAUUUGGUAACCUUGAGAAGUGCACCUUUUGCACCGAUCGAGUGUCUUUUCUUGGUUAUGUUGUGACUCCACAGGGAAUUGAGGUUGAUCAAGCCAAGGUGGAAGCUAUACAGGGAUGGCCUGUCCCAAAUACUAUCACCCAGGUGCGGAGUUUCCUAGGACUUGCUGGAUUCUAUCGCCGUUUUGUGAAGGAUUUCAGCACCAUUGCUGCACCAUUGAAUGAGCUUACAAAGAAGGGGGUGCCUUUUGAUUGGGGCAAAGCACAAGAGAAUUCAUUCAACAUGUUGAAAGAUAAGUUAACUCAUGCACCUCUCCUACAACUUCCUGAUUUUAAUAAGACUUUUGAGCUUGAAUGUGAUGCUAGUGGAAUUGGUUUGGGAGGUGUUUUAUUACAAGAGGGAAAACCUAUUGCAUAUUUUAGUGAGAAAUUGAGUGGGCCUGUUCUCAAUUAUUCAACUUAUGAUAAAGAACUCUAUGCUCUUGUUAGAACAUUAGAGACAUGGCAGCAUUAUUUGUGGCCCAAAGAGUUUAUUAUCCAUUCUGAUCAUGAAUCUUUGAAACAUAUUCGUAGUCAAGGAAAACUGAAUCGUAGGCAUGCAAAAUGGGUUGAAUUUAUUGAAUCUUUUCCUUAUAUUAUUAAGCACAAGAAAGGGAAGGAAAAUAUUAUUGCUGAUGCUUUAUCACGGAGAUAUACUUUGCUGAAUCAACUUGAUUACAAGAUAUUUGGGUUAGAAACAAUUAAAGACCAAUAUGUUCAUGAUGCUGAUUUUAGAGACAUGUUGCUGCAUUGUAAAGAUGGAAAAGGGUGGAAUAAAUUCAUCGUUAGUGAUGGGUUUGUGUUUAGAGCUAACAAGCUAUGCAUUCCAGCUAGCUCUGUUCGUUUGUUGUUGUUACAGGAAGCGCAUGGAGGUGGCUUGAUGGGACAUUUUGGAGCCAAGAAGACCGAGGACAUACUUGCUGGUCAUUUCUUUUGGCCAAGGAUGAAGAGAGAUGUGGAGAGGUUUGUUGCUCGUUGCACAACAUGUCAAAAGGCAAAUGUCACGGUUAAAUCCCCACGGUUUGUAUUUACCUUUUCCUGUUCCUAAUGCUCCUUGGGAGGAUAUAUCUAUGGAUUUUGUGUUGGGACUACCAAGGACUAGGAGGGGACGCGAUAGUGUGUUUGUGGUUGUUGAUAGAUUUUCUAAGAUGGCACAUUUCAUACCAUGUCAUAAAACUGAUGAUGCUACAAAUAUUGCUGAUUUGUUCUUUCGAGAAAUUGUUCGCUUACAUGGUGUGCCCAACACAAUUGUUUCUGAUCGUGAUGCUAAAUUUCUUAGUCAUUUUUGGAAGACUUUGUGGUUCAAAUUGGGGACUAAGCUUUUAUUUUCCACCACUUGUCAUCCCCAAACUGAUGGUCAAACUGAAGUUGUUAAUAGAACUUUAUCCACUAUGUUAAGGGCUGUUUUAAAGAAGAAUAUUAAGAUGUGGGAAGAAUGUUUGCCUCAUAUUGAGUUCGCCUAUAAUCGUUCAUUGCAUUCUACUACAAAAAUGUGUCCUUUUGAGAUUGUCUAUGGCUUCUUGCCACAUGCUCCUAUUGAUUUAAUGCCUUUGCCAAGUUCUGAAAAAAUAAUUUUUGAUGCUAAGCAACGUGCUGAAUUGAUGUUAAAAUUGCAUGAAGCCACUAAACAAAACAUAGAGCGCAUGAAUGCUAAGUACAAAUGCGCUGGAGAUAAAGGUAGAAAGCAAUUGAUUCUGGAACCUGGGGAUUUGGUUUGGUUGCAUUUGCGAAAAGAUAGAUUUCCAGAACUGAGAAAAUCCAAAUUGAUGCCUAGAGCUGAUGGUCCUUUUAAAGUGCUGCAACGGAUUAAUGAGAAUGCAUAUAAGCUUGAUCUUCCUGCAGAUUUUGGGGUUAGUCCCACAUUUAACAUUGCAGAUUUGAAGCCUUAUUUGGGUGAGGAAGAUGAGCUUGAGUCGAGGACGACUCAAAUGCAAGCAAGGGAGGAUGAUGAGGACAUCAACACCAGCGAUACAUCCUCUCCGACACAACCUAUAGCUGGUCCUCUUACUCGUGCUCGUAUUCGUCAACUUAAUAAUCAAGUGAGUUCCUUGAUAAGCUCGUGUCCAUCUUGUUUAGACAAUGGAAACGCGUGCACUCUUGUUUUGAUUAGGAACCAAGGAGAAGACCGAAAGGGAGAAGGACUCACGCUCGCUGGAUUCGGACAGCAGCAAAGCGCAAACUUGUGACCGUUACCACGGUUGCAUACGGAUUCGGAUUCAGGCGCUUCAGGACUUGUUGGAAAGCUUAUCAAGUCUACUGUCAUAUUAAUCAAGUCCCACGUCAAUAGCUGUUCGGCAGCAGCGGCAAUGAUCCAAUUACCGUCGAUAGGUCUUGCUGUCCAGGGUGCGGCGUCACCUCAUUUUGGGCUGAUGGCCCAUGUAUCAAGUUGGGUCCAUUAGGGACACGUCCUAGGGUUGGAGGACGACCCCAACACCUCUUUGGUCGUCAAUCCAUCUACUCUAGAGCCGCCAUGGUCGUUGGGUUUUGUUUAGAUCAAGUUUAGCCUUCGCUACUUGCUUGUAGGCGCGCGUGCAGGAUCAGCCGCCCGUCUCCUUGUCUUCGGAACCCCAUUGUUGAUUUAGAUUCAGUUUGAAACCUUCAAUUCAUCUUGCAAAUUUAGUGCUUGUUUCCUCGUUCUUGCUAGUUCUUCGAUUGCUUGCAGGACGGGAGCCCUAGGGGCUGGUUGUCGCGCUCCACAAGAUCGUGACGGCUGUUGGACGUGGUGUAUCGGUUGCUAAGGCGCGGUCUUGAGGGCUGUAGUCGGGCUGUGAACGUCAUCUCCAUCCACCAAUCGAGUUAUCCCCGUCUCUCAUCAAAAGAUCAGGCAAAAACCCUAGCGGGUUCGCAUAAGUUUGCAUAGAACAUACCAUAUGCUUGGAAAUUAAUUUGGACGCACCUGAUGGAACUCCUUGAUGACGUGUGUCAUAUGGAAUCUCACUUUGGUCUGUUUAGAAACAUUGUUAGUUUCGGUGCAAGAUAUGUGCAUGGUUUGCGCCUAAUGUACCACAGUCUAUGAAACCAUUUUGGAAGCACCUGUUAGUACUUUGGUGAAGAGGCUCAAGUGGAAGUUCGGUUUGAUCUGUUUGGAGAUAGUGCUAAUCUUGAUGCAAGAUAGGUGCAUGAUUUGCAAGGAACAUACCAUAUGCUUGGAAAUUAAUUUGGACGCACCCAAUAGAACUCCUAGAUGACGUGUGUCAUAUGGAAUCUUGCUUCGGUCCGUUUGUAGACAUUGUAAGUUUUAGUGCAAGAUAGGUGCACAGUUUGCGCCUAAUGGACCAUAGUCUAAGAAACCAUUUUGGACGCACUAUUUGGUACUCCUAGGUGAAGAGGCUCAAGUGGAAGCUUGGUUCGGUCAGUUUGGAGAUAGUGCUAAUCCUUAUGCAAGGUAGGUGCAUGGUUUGCAUGAAACAUACCAUAUGCUUGGAAAUCAAUUUAGAUGCACCCGAUGGAACUCCUUGAUGACGUGUGUCAUAUGGAAUCUCGCUUCGGUCCAUUCGGAGACAUUGUUAGUUUUGGUGCAAGAUAGGUGCACAGUUUGCACCUAAUGCACUAUAGUCUAAGAAACCAUUUUGGACACAGUUGUUGGUACUCCUAGGUGAAGGGUCUCAAGUGGAUGCUGAUGAGGACAUCAACACCAGCGAUACAUCCUCUCCGACACAACCUAUAGCUGGUCCUCUUACUCGUGCUCGUGUUCGUCAACUUAAUAAUCAAGUGAGUUCCUUGAUAAGCUCGUGUCCAUCUUGUUUAGACAAUGGAAACGUGUGCACUCUUGUUUUGAUUAGGAACCAAGGAGAAGACCGAAAGGGAGAAGGACUCACGCUCGCUGGAUUCGGACAGCAGCAAAGCGCAAACUUGUGACCGUUACCACGGUUGCAUACGGAUUCGGAUUCAGGCGCUUCAGGACUUGUUGGAAAGCUUAUCAAGUCUACUGUCAUAUUAAUCAAGUCCCACGUCAAUAGCUGUUCGGCAGCAGCGGCAAUGAUCCAAUUACCGUCGAUAGGUCUUGCUGUCCAGGGUGCGGCGUCACCUCAUUUUGGGCUGAUGGCCCAUGUAUCAAGUUGGGUCCAUUAGGGACACGUCCUAGGGUUGGAGGACGACCCCAACACCUCUUUGGUCGUCAAUCCAUCUAUUUAUAUCCCUCUAGAGUCGCCAUGGUCGUUGGGUAUUGUUUAGAUCAAGUUUAGCCUUCGCUACUUGCUUGUAGGCGCGCGUGCAGGAUCAGCCGCCCGUCUCCUUGUCUUCGGAACCCUAUUGUUGAUUCAGAUUCAGUUUGAAACCUUCAAUUCAUCUUGCAAAUUCAGUGCUUGUUUCCUCGUUCUUGCUAGUUCUUCGAUUGCUUGCAGGACAGGAGCCCUAGGGGCUGGUUGUCGCGCUCCACAAGAUCGUGACGGCUAUUGGACGUGGUGUAUCGGUUGCUAAGGCGCGGUCUUAAGGGCUGUAGUCGGGCCGUGAACGUCAUCUCCAUCCACCAAUCGAGUUAUCCCCGUCUCUCAUCAAAAGAUCGGGCAAAAACCCUAGCGGGUUCGCAUCAGUUGGUAAUCAGAGCAAGGUUCUUCGGUGAGAGACUUCUAAUCCUUUGCUGUUUUUAAUUACUUUCCUAUAGUCCAGAAAAGUCAAAAAAAAUAUAGUAGAUUAGUUUUUUCAUAAUCCUAUUAAACCUUUGUGCCUUGGCUAGUACCAUUUUAGUUAGGGCUUGUUGAAUUUGCGUUGCUUCGGUUUGUGUCGAGUUGCUGGUCUUAGUGUCUAGUCGUUUAGAGUUUCGAGUUCUUGUCACCGUCUAUACACAGCCGAGUAUUACCAUAUCUUCUCUCUGUCGAUGUGUUGCGAAGUCCAAAUUGAACUGUGGUCUUGGUCCGGAUCGAGUAGAGUUCCAAUCUGAGUUCCACCAACGUGAUAAAAAAAGAAGGAAACCGAGUAGAACUCGGCAAUAGGUGGAAUCCGUUUUGUGGUUGGUUCUGAGUGGAAACCGAAUAGAACUUGGAGUCCGCUUGUUAAUAUAGCCUGAACUCCGUCUAUGUGAGUCCUUCUGUGAUCCAAAACGAAAGAUAACUCCAUACUUGUUCGGCCUUACUCUAGAGAGAGAGAGAGAGAGAAAAGUGUGUGUAGCAAAUUGCUCUUUUGUAUUCUUUUGUUCAUAUAAUCAGUUUUUGAGGUUGCCCAAAAAAAAAGAAAAAAAAGAAAAGAGAAAAGAUUCAAAAAAAGGGGCUGUUUUUCAUAUUGAUUUUAGGUUUGUUCCACCUUGUUUUCGGGGGUGUGCUGUGGUUUUCCUUUGUGUCCAGGCUCGCGUCUCUAGCACGGUCUAGCCUAGGACCAGCACAGUACCAUCGUCGAACGCUUAUUCAGCUUGCUUUUUAUAACUAACGUGGUGCUAGUUCGUUCCUUGUUUCAGCCCACCUAAAGCUCCACAUACUCUACAGCU
rnacentral:lncRNA from 1 species